rnacentral:rRNA from 1 species
UACGUAGGGUGCAAGCGUUAAUCGGAAUUACUGGGCGUAAAGCGUGCGCAGGCGGUUAUGUAAGACAGAUGUGAAAUGCCCGGGCUUAAUCUGGGAACUGCAUUUGUGACUGCAUGGCUAGAGUUUGGCAGAGGGGGGUAGAAUUCCACGUGUAGCAGUGAAAUGCGUAGAUAUGUGGAGGAACACCGAUGGCGAAGGCAGCCCCCUGGGUCAAGACUGACGCUCAUGCACGAAAGCGUGGGUAGCAAACAGG